rnacentral:lncRNA from 1 species
AUAGCACCAACCACACCUCAUCUCCUGCCACUCUCCUACAAGCUAAAAGAAAAGAAAAGGAGAAAAAAGAAGCAAUGCGUCACCACUCAACAAUACCAUUGGUGAGCCAACAUCACACGUAUUCUCAUCAACAAUCACACUUAAACAUUGCCGAGCCUCGCCUAACAUCACACUUAUUCUCAUCAACAAUCACACUUAAACAUUGCCGAGCCUCGCCUACUAAUGGCGCUUAUUGACGGCAUUGCACCGCUUUCGUAUCUCGCCCUCGUCCCCCGUGAGCGGGUUGUUC